GGGUGGGUAGCUCAGUUGGAAGAGCGCUGCCCUUACAAGGCAGUGGUCGCAGGUUCGAGCCCUGUCCCACCCACCA
rnacentral:tRNA from 1 species